rnacentral:rRNA from 1 species
UCCAUAGGUUAAUGAGGCGAACCGGGGGAACUGAAACAUCUAAGUACCCCGAGGAAAAGAAAUCAACCGAGAUUCCCCCAGUAGCGGCGAGCGAACGGGGAGGAGCCCAGAGCCUGAAUCAGCAUGUGUGUUAGUGGAAGCGUCUGGAAAGGCGCGCGAUACAGGGUGACAGCCCCGUACACAAAAGCGCAUGUGCUGUGAGCUCGAUGAGUAGGGCGGGACACGUGGUAUCCUGUCUGAAUAUGGGGGGACCAUCCUCCAAGGCUAAAUACUCCUGACUGACCGAUAGUGAACCAGUACCGUGAGGGAAAGGCGAAAAGAACCCCGGCGAGGGGAGUGAAAAAGAACCUGAAACCGUGUACGUACAAGCAGUGGGAG